rnacentral:lncRNA from 1 species
AUUUUCUUAUUUAAUUUCAUAAAGUAUGAUUAAUCAGUCCAAGUAUUAUUAGUUAGGAUAUUGUUGAGGUACUUUUUGUUAAUUAUAUUUUCUUUUGAUUGUUUUGUAGCCAAGUGAUGCAGCUAGUGGAUUCGUUGCACCCAUGGAUAUAAGAAGAUCAUCCGGUGAAAGUAAUCCCAACAAUAAUCACUGAGAUUGCUUUCAAAUGUAUUAGAUAAUUAAGUAUCGUACUUAUUGAAUAGUCAUAGUAGAUUGUUUGUCCAUAAUGAUUGGACUGGAUAUUCUGU